rnacentral:lncRNA from 1 species
AUGACAAGUAGAUAUUUUAUUUAAAAUUGAAAGCCCUUUCUGAAAUUGCAUAGGUAUAAUUUUGUAAGCAAUGGAUGUUUAGGAUUUCCAGAUGAGUCCUUGCUUAUGAUCAAGGUCAUCAAGUGAGGACUGCUAAAUCCUGUUGGUUAAUUUAUUUUUAGAGUUAUGCCCAAGGUCAUUGGAUCUCACCACAGAAUACAAAGAUUCUAAUGAUUAAGCUCUCUGCACCCCUAACACCCUCUCCUCUCUCCCUUUGGAUCUUCAGUUUCCUUCGGGAUUUUUAGGAAUCAGGACUACCACUUACUCAGUCACUGGGCUAGUAGCCUCAAUAAGAUGGCCUGAGUGUCUCAGCACUCUCAGAAAGUCAAGAUCAAAUUGGGAUCCAGGUAAGAUGGAUCUGAAGAUAAAGAGGUUUUAUGACCCGAGUUGGCCCCUGGAAUCCGCAUGGUAGAAGGAGAAAAUUGACCCCUGACAGGUGUCCUCUGAUCUCCACAUGUGCAUCUACUGGAUAUGAGUGUGUCCACCCUAGUCAAUCAAACAAACAUAAAUCAAAUACAUAAAUAUAAAAAAAUCAAACCUUCAUUCCAAGCCCAUCCUUUGGAGUGUUUCAGAAAAGGUAAAGCUUACUUAAAACUUUCAACGCAUGGGAUCAUGCUGGGAAGCACUGCUACUUGCAUACUUGCAUUCUCUGCUAUGAGCAUCUUUAAACGCAUAUCUUGUCCCUAUUCUGCAAUCAUUUAGGUCUCUAAAAUCUCAGGUUCAGAUUUUUAAGAGUCUCUCAAAUAAUGUAGCCCAUAUUUAAAAAUCUUACAAUCCUCAUGUCCUUCCAAAUAAGAAGAAAACCUAUUCCUAAGGCUGCGUUCCUUACCAUAGUCAUAAAGAAUGCUAACAUAAAUGAUUCAGUACUCUGGUGUAAGGGCACAUUUUAAUGCCUUUCAGGUUCUGCUGCAGAAGCCAUUCAAACUCUCAGCAGCUUAUAACCACAGCAUCUUCUUCUGAUCUACACCACAUGAUCAUCAGUGGCUGUGGUUCUGCCCCAUGCAGCGGCCCUGACAAUGCAUUUGUCUUGACAUCCCCCAGAUUUGGGUUGAAAGAAGCUCCUAUUUGCUUCAUGCUGUUUUCAAAAAGAGAACAGAGGUGGAAAUGGCUCCAGCAAAUUGUGAGCCUAUAAAUAAAACUGUAGCAUAUCAAAGAGCUGAGUGAAAAAUUAAGAUGUUUAAUAAAAUCCACUAUAUUCAUUUUCAAUUCUAACAAAACUUUAGUUUUAACUUACUUUCCAAGGAUUUCCUAAACAUAUUCAUAUUCAUAUGAGUUUUAUUUAAAUUCUGUGGAUUAACCAUCAUAUCCCACCUGAAUGAGAAGAAAGUGCACCUUAGUGGGGUUUAUAAUAAAAAAUAUUGACAAGGUGAUAAAAGGACAGUAUUCAAACAUGCUGUAUGAUUAUACCCGUUAAAAUUCCAUUUAUUUUUUUCCUUUUAUUAAAGUUGGCUUUUACAGCUUCUCCCUCUGUUCCUCACGGCCCUUCUCCAUCUCCCUGACUGGAUCCACCACCUUUCUGCCUUUCUUUAGAAAACAAAUAGGCUUCUAAGAGAUUGAGAGGGCUUCUGGGUGGGGCUUGUGUCCACUUCACCUUCCAGCUCUAGUGCAGACUCACACAGGCCCCGUGCCUGCUGCCAGUCUCUUGUGAGUUCAUAUGUGCAUCAGUCCUCAUGAUUUAGAGUCUUGAUUUCUUGGUGUCUUCAUCCACUCUGGUUUUUACAUCCUUUUAACUCUUCUACCUGAGGGUUCCUGGGGGGAGCAAUUUGAUGGAGAUGUCCUAAAUUCAGGAAGGAGUGUUCCAAGGUCUCUUAUUCUCUGUAUAACUCAGGCUGAGUUUCUAUAUCUGUUCCCAUCUGUACAGGAAGAAGCCUCUCUGAUCAUGGCUGAGAAAGGUACUGAUCUAUGGGUGUAGCUGGAUGUCCUUAGGAGUCAUUUUAUUACUGUGCUCUUUUAGCAGAUCAGUUCUAUUUGGUUUACCCUAGAUCCAAGCUGGCUAUCUAGUCUCAAGUUCUUAGCCACCCAAGUAGUAUUAGGUAAGGGUUCCAUCUUGUGGAGUGGGCCUAAAGUUACAUCAGAUAUUGGUUGGUCACUCCCACAAGUUUUGUGCCACCACUGCACUAGCUUCUCCUGAAGGCUUCACACCAUUGUAGAUCAAAGGGUUUGUGGUUGAUUGGUGUUUAUGUUUCUCCUUUUGGAGUGUGCAGACUACCUUCUUGUACCAAAGACAUUAGAAUGUAGGGGUGAAGUCUCUAUGUGGGUACCAGCUCAACUUCUCCAUGUUCAAUGAGUUCUGUAGGUGUUGUCUGCUUUGGGGGCUUUUCAGUCAGUCUGUGGAGAGCAAAAUGUUUAUCUAAGUAUUAAAAGUUGGCACUUAGGAAUGAAGAUGGGCUAGAGGUCCACAAAUGGGAAGAAAACAGUAUAUAGCAUCAAAAUCUGCUUGUCCCCUGAGAACAGCAUCCAAGAGUGAGUAGGAGAGGCCACAAUAGUCUGCUACAGAUCUGGGGAUGAAACUGGAAAACUGCAUAUGGAGACGAGAAGGAAGAGUGACGAUCCUAAGCUCUCCUCCCUGCUGCCCUGGCAGCCUUGUCUGCAGGUUCCCAGGGAAGCUGGGAUAAAUCAAUGGGUGAGGGGAAGGAAGUUUGGUUUAUGUAUGUGUGACUAAAGAUGGGGGCAGCAGGGAGGGGAGGUUCCUGUGGGUGGUCUGCUACAGAGCUGGGGAUGAGACAGUGGGACUGGAUUCAGAGAGGAAAGAGAGGUGAAGAUUGAAGUUAUGCUGGCUGUCUGCUUCCCUAUAAUUAUAUUAUAAAAGUAAUUUGUUUUUAAGGAGAAUUUAGUUUCAGAGUGAAAACAUAUGUUUUCCUAUGGCUUUCUAGGAACGCUAGUGAAGCCAAAGACCUUGGAGCAGAACCUGCAGUCAGUACUUUACUCAACUUUACCAAACCAGAACAAUUCCUAACAGCAGU